UCAAGUCCCACCACCGACACUAGAUGAUCAAAUGAAGACAAGAACCCAUCGGAAUAAUGCCGGGGAAUUGUUCAUAGUUCAUAGGGGCCUUCCAGAGUGAGCCUGGAGAGGAGGCAAAGGGGAGCCUCCGAAAGAUUUGUAUGCAGAUGUUCAAAGAAGCGCUUACCCAUACGAGCCAGACGUUGGAAACAGCCCAAAUGAUCAUCAACAGGACUUUAAUCCAUCAGAACUUUGUCCUUAAGGAUAGUGUGAGUCAAACUCUGUGAGAGAGAGCCAGCCACGUGUGCACCCCUGGCCCGCCAAUGCGUUCAGCCCACCUGCCUGCCUUCUGCUCCCCCAGGGGUCUGUGUUCAGUCUGAGAGCACAGACCAGAUCAAAAACUGUGUUAAGUUCUGUUUCAGCCAGCAAGACUGAUAAACGGAUGAGAUUUCCCCCUUGGUCUCUCAAGGCAGGAUCAAUCCAUUCUAGUUCCCACAGAUCAAUGCCAGAAAAUAGCCCAAGGAGUAACGAUGUGUUUAUUAAUUGGGAGCGCUUUGAGGGAGGGGGCAAUGAGGACAGAAGGGAGUGGUGGGGAUCUCAGGUUCGGGAGGCUGUCCGAGUGGACGCUUGGGCCUGGGUGCUGAAGGGCUGCUAAGCAGCGAAGACCUGUCCCCAGACUGUUGGCCGCACGUCAUUGAACACCUUUGGGAUCUCGUCACAUCUGAAAUACACUGAUGUUUUUCUUCCCCGAUGAUGUUCAUUAUUAAAAUGUUACAAGA